rnacentral:rRNA from 1 species
AGCAGCCGCGGUAAUUCCAGCUCCAAUAGCGUAUAUUAAAGUUGUUGCAGUUAAAAAGCUCGUAGUUGAAUUUCGGGAUCGGUAGGUUGGUCACUGCAUCCGCUAUGUACUGGCCUUACCGAUUCCUCCUUCUUGUAGAACUGUGAUGCCAUUAAUUUGGUGUUGCAGGGAAACAGGACUGUUACUUUGAAAAAAUUAGAGUGUUUAAAGCAGGCU